UACGUAGGGGGCUAGCGUUGUCCGGAUUUAUUGGGCGUAAAGAGCGUGUAGGCGGCCAGAUAGGUCUGCUGUGAAAACUCGAGGCUCAACCUCGAGCUGUCGGCGGAAACCAUUUGGCUAGAGUCCGGAAGAGGAGAGUGGAAUUCCUGGUGUAGCGGUGAAAUGCGCAGAUAUCAGGAAGAACACCAAUGGCGAAAGCAGCUCUCUGGGACGGUACUGACGCUGAGGAGCGAAAGCGUGGGGAGCGAACAGG
rnacentral:rRNA from 1 species